AUCAAUCAUAACGGACACACAGAUUUCAAAGGCAGCAGGAUGAAAGAUAUGUGUCUGUGUUCAUCAAGACAUGAAGACUCUGGAGUGGGACAAGAGAAGGAUGAUGGGGUGUAUAUUCCAAUAGACACAUUAAGUGAAAGCUGAUAAAUACAGAGGGCUGGACAGUGGUUUCAUUCAUUAGGUAAAGAGGUGGGACAAGGAUGCUGACAGGACAGGAGGAGGUGACAUUCAGCUGAAUUUCUCAUAGGUGGAUAAAGUAUGACAGCAAUUGUGAAGACCUUAGACGUGCAGUAUAUGGUUCUUCUCUCUUUCAUUUAUAUUGAUUUGACUUAAUUUUCUUGGUAAAU